GGGCAUCUUCUUGUCGCCGCUGCUGACCACGGCUUUCCUCUGCUUCUUGAACCUUUGAGAGGCACAGACUCAUUAGGGGUCCACACACCAGGCCUGCCAGGAGCCCCCCGCCGAGGGAUACCCACCAGGUCUCCGCUCCUCCAGGGUUCCAUGGAUCCCAGGUACCCUUACUGAAGACGCACGAGGAUGAGACUGAUUCCAGCUGAAGAGGUCCUGCUCUUGAGACGUUUGCCGACACGGCGCUGCCGACCGGGAGCAGCACAGUCCCAGCAGCCCUGGGCGGCCCGCAGCCCGCCUCUCCCACGCAGCGCCUGGCAGGCCUUCCCCAUUCUGUCUGAGCGGCUGCUUGGAAUUCCGAUUUUUGGACAGAUCAAGUCUGGAAGGAUUCGGGUUGUUUCAACACGUUUGCUGUUGCCUCUCAUUCUGCAGCUUGCACACCUGCUCUGUGGCUCUCACAGGGCCUCUGGCGGAAGCUCCCGGAGCCCGUCCCUGUGCCAGCUCACACACUGCACCAGCGCUGGCACACAGCCUCCGCGCUCCUGGGAGCCACUUUCCCCUGGAUAUCAGCUCGCUUUUAUUUGUUUACUUCAAAAUUUCUUCACAGAGAGAGAGAGAAUCUCCCAUCUGCUGGUUCCCAUCCAAAUGCUUGCAAAGGCUGCGCAGGGGCCAGGCUGAAGCCAGGACCCGGGACCUCAGUCCAGGUCUCCCAGGGGGGUGGCAGGGACCCAGCCACCUGGCCACUGUCUCCUGCCUCCAGGCUCUGCAGUAGUGGGCAGUUGGAAUCAGGAGAGCGGGUGGGACUCGAACCCAGGCACCCACACAGGGGAUGCCAGUGUCUUAAUCAGCAUCUUAAACACUAAGUCAAAGAACCUGUUCCAGGAAUCCUUUUUAAGUUCGCCAGUCUGGUAAGUAAAGUAACAUCUUUCCAUAAGUGAAGUUCACCAGAUAUUUGCAGUUUGCCUGGUGAUAUUCUGUAGCUGUUUUCCUCCUGUAUCUUCCACAUGUUAACUUCUAGGUGCUCCUGCGACAGGAGGAAACACCCUGCUACGCGACUGGCAAAGUUACCUGUGACUCCGUGAGUGCAGCAAUGAGUCUCCAUGAAUACGUUCUGUCCGCUGAGCGCAUGGCAUGCUUGCCGGUUACUCUGGCACAGUGCGGCCAUGUGUUAUCCUUGCCAGCGCCCCUCCACCGGCCAGAGGUGCCGUCUGCACCUUGGCACCCAGGCCUGCUCCACGGGUGCUUGUGCGGGCCCCGGAGGAGGCUGCACCCGGGGGGAGACUGGCUUUGCCUCUGCUCUGGUGCUGAGGUCACAGGAGCCCGGCUCUGCCCUCGGCCAUGAUGCCAGCUGGUGCUCAGGGCAUGGUGCGUAGGGCCCCGCGUGCCCACAGCGCCCCCUGCAGGAGUCUGUGCUGCGCUCCCGCGGGCCUGCCCCAUCUGCCACAGGCGCUGCUGAGCCUGCAGCUCCUGGCUGUGCCCGGUGACCGGCGCCUGCACGGCACCACUGCCAUCUCCCACCGCAAGUGGGGACACUGAGGUCUUGGGGGCUCAGGAAGCCAGUCAAGGCCGCCCAGGCAGCAGUGGCAGGGACGGAAUCUGAACCUGACCAUGUCUCUAGUCUGUUUCUUCCUCUCCCGCCUCCUCCUUUGUGCACAGUGUUUACGUUCCAGUGGUAAGAUUCACAGGCCAUCAGAUCACCCGUGUUAAGCAUUCACUUCAACGGUUUUUAGUAAAUUCACAUGGUUGUGCAGUCCUCACCAUAAUCCACUCUUAGAACCUUGCCAUCGGGGCCGGCGUUGUGGCACAGCGGGUGAAGCCGCUGCCUGUGACGCCAGCACCCAGCUGUCCCGGCUGCUCCACUUCUGACCCAGCUCCCUGCUAACGUGCCUGGGAAGGCAGAGGAAGAUGGCCCAUGCUUGGGCCUGUACCCACAUGGGAGACCUGGAGGAAGCUCCUGACUUCUGGCUUUAGCCUGGCCCAUCCCUGGCUGUUGUGGCCAUUUGGGGAGGAAGCCAGAGGACGGAAGAUUCUCUCUCUGUCUCUGUCUCUGUCUCCUUCCUCUUCCUAUGUAACUCUUUCAAAUAAAUAAUAUUAAAAGGAAAACGUAACACUGCCAUCCCCCCUUGAGGCUGCCUGUCUUUGUUUACCACCUGUUGCUACCCCAGCCCCAGCAGCUCUGAUCACUUCCUCCCUCCACACCUCCGCCCACUCAGCAACUUCCUGGCAUCAGAUCACACGGGGUGCUCUGUGUCCGCCUGCUUUCACUGAGCGCGGCCCUGGGUGCCUCCACGUCACAGGGGCCACGUGUGUCACAGGGGCCACAUGUGUCAGAGGCCAGUGGUGUCUUCUUCAUUCUCUGUUGUAACUUUUCAAAGAAGGGGAGAAGUGGAACAAGCUCCAUGUGUCUGCCCCUCCUUGCUCUCGUGGUGGGGGGGCUGUUGCCCCGCCCACCUCCUGUCCCCACGUGUCCCCACGUGCUCGUUCCUGAGUUGCCUCCAGGCAUCACGUGUUCCUGAACGCCCCAAGGGCAGCCUUCCACAGAGUUCAUGCAAAAUGUGUGUUAUGAAAAGGAAAGCAUAGAUUUCAGUUUUUUUCUUUAAAAUAAAUGUACCUUUUAACUGCA